rnacentral:rRNA from 1 species
AUGAAUUAUGCUUAUGGAGAUGAACUUGCUAUAGUCCCUUAUGUUAAACAUGAAAUUGUUGGUAUUGCACCCACGCAUGAUAGUCCUAUUAUCUUUUUGAAUUCUCCCAACUACACUAUAUCAGAGAAGUUUACCCUUAUUAAGGAUUAUAUUGAUGGGUUGCCUUAUACCGUUGCACAUGAUGAUUUUGAUGAAUAUAAUAUGCAUGUGCUCGCUGCUCCUACUUGCAAUUAUUAUGAUAGAGGAACUAUAUCUCCACCUCUCUAUGUUUCCCACAUGAUAAAAUUGCAAGAAACUGUUUAUACUAUGCAUUGGCCUUUACUUUGUGUGCAUGAGUUGUUCUUUUAUGACAUGCCGAUGCAUAGGAAGAGAGUUAGACUUCGGUGUUCCAUGAUAUAUGUUACUUUGUGCUCACUACUAAAUUACAAAUCAUUGUUAAUUAAAAUUGGCUUUGAUAUACCUUGGGAUCCGGGUGGAUCCAUUACUUGA